rnacentral:rRNA from 1 species
GCUUCGGUAACUGACCUAGCGGCGGACGGGUGAGUAAUACUUAGGAAUCUGCCUAUUAAUGGGGGACAACAUCUCGAAAGGGAUGCUAAUACCGCAUACGCCCUACGGGGGAAAGCAGGGGAUCACUUGUGACCUUGCGUUAAUAGAUGAGCCUAAGUCGGAUUAGCUAGUUGGUGGGGUAAAGGCCUACCAAGGCGACGAUCUGUAGCGGGUCUGAGAGGAUGAUCCGCCACACUGGGACUGAGACACGGCCCAGACUCCUACGGGAGGCAGCAGUGGGGAAUAUUGGACAAUGGGGGGAACCCUGAUCCAGCCAUGCCGCGUGUGUGAAGAAGGCCUUAUGGUUGUAAAGCACUUUAAGCGAGGAGGAGGCUCUCUUGGUUAAUACCCAAGAUGAGUGGACGUUACUCGCAGAAUAAGCACCGGCUAACUCUGUGCCAGCAGCCGCGGUAAUACAGAGGGUGCGAGCGUUAAUCGGAUUUACUGGGCGUAAAGCGUGCGUAGGCGGCUUUUUAAGUCGGAUGUGAAAUCCCCGAGCUUAACUUGGGAAUUGCAUUCGAUACUGGGAAGCUAGAGUAUGGGAGAGGAUGGUAGAAUUCCAGGUGUAGCGGUGAAAUGCGUAGAGAUCUGGAGGAAUACCGAUGGCGAAGGCAGCCAUCUGGCCUAAUACUGACGCUGAGGUACGAAAGCAUGGGGAGCAAACAGGAUUAGAUACCCUGGUAGUCCAUGCCGUAAACGAUGUCUACUAGCCGUUGGGGCCUUUGAGGCUUUAGUGGCGCAGCUAACGCGAUAAGUAGACCGCCUGGGGAGUACGGUCGCAGGACUAAAACUCAAAUGAAUUGACGGGGGCCCGCACAAGCGGUGGAGCAUGUGGUUUAAUUCGAUGCAACGCGAAGAACCUUACCUGGUCUUGACAUAGUAGGAACUUUCCAGAGAUGGAUUGGUGCCUUCGGGAACUUACAUACAGGUGCUGCAUGGCUGUCGUCAGCUCGUGUCGUGAGAUGUUGGGUUAAGUCCCGCAACGAGCGCAACCCUUUUCCUUAUUUGCCAGCACUUCGGGUGGGAACUUUAAGGAUACUGCCAGUGACAAACUGGAGGAAGGCGGGGACGACGUCAAGUCAUCAUGGCCCUUACGACCAGGGCUACACACGUGCUACAAUGGUCGGUACAAAGGGUUGCUACCUAGCGAUAGGAUGCUAAUCUCAAAAAGCCGAUCGUAGUCCGGGUUGGAGUCUGCAACUCGAC